rnacentral:rRNA from 1 species
GAGUUUGAUCAUGGCUCAGGAUUAACGCUGGCGGCAUGCCUAAUACAUGCAAGUCGAACGGAGUAGCAAUACUUAGUGGCGAACGGGUGAGUAACACGUAUCUAAUCUACCAUUUAGUGGGGAAUAACUGUUGGAAACGACAGCUAAUACCGCAUAAUAUUGCUGGAUAAUUUCCAGUAAUGAAAGGAGCUUUCAAGCUCCGCUGAUUGAUGAGGAUGCGGCGCAUUAGCUAGUUGGUAGGGUAAUGGCCUACCAAGGCAAUGAUGCGUAGCCGAUCUGAGAGGAUGAACGGCCACAUUGGGACUGAGACACGGCCCAAACUUCUACGGAAGGCAGCAGUAGGGAAUUUUUCACAACGGGCGAAAGCCUGAUGGAGCAAUGCCGCGUGACUGAUGAAGGUCUUCGGAUUGUAAAGGUCUGUUGUAAGGGAAGAAAUGGUAAAACAGGAAAUGGUUUUAUCUAUGACGGUACCUUACCAGAAAGCCACGGCUAACUAUGUGCCAGCAGCCGCGGUAAUACAUAGGUGGCAAGCGUUAUCCGGAUUUAUUGGGCGUAAAGGGUGCGUAGACGGUUUUGCAAGUCUGAGGUUAAAUUUAGGAGCUCAACUCCUAAUCGCCUUGGAAACUACAAGACUAGAGUAUAGGAGAGGUUAGUGGAAUUCCAUGUGUAGCGGUGGAAUGUGUAGAUAUAUGGAGGAACACCAGUGGCGAAAGGCGGCUAACUGGGCCUAUCACUGACGUUGAAGCACGAAAGCGUGGGGA